CAGUCGCCACGGUAAUACGUAGGGUGCGAGCGUUAAUCGGAAUUACUGGGCGUAAAGCGUGCGCAGGCGGUCAUAUAAGACAGAUGUGAAAUCCCCGGGCUCAACCUGGGACCUGCAUUUGUGACUGUAUAGCUAGAGUACGGUAGAGGGGGAUGGAAUUCCGCGUGUAGCAGUGAAAUGCGUAGAUAUGCGGAGGAACACCGAUGGCGAAGGCAAUCCCCUGGACCUGUACUGACGCUCAUGCACGAAAGCGUGGGGAGCAAACAGGAUUAGAGACCCCUGUAGUCCCUGUCUCUUAUAC
rnacentral:rRNA from 1 species